rnacentral:rRNA from 1 species
CGCAGGCUAAUACCCUGUGCUGCUGACGGUACCUGCAGAAUAAGCACCGGCUAACUCCGUGCCAGCAGCCGCGGUAAUACGUAGGGUGCGAGCGUUAAUCGGAAUUACUGGGCGUAAAGCGUGCGCAGGCGGCUAUGCAAGACAGAUGUGAAAUCCCCGGGCUCAACCUGGGAACUGCAUUUGUGACUGCAUGGCUAGAGUGCGUCAGAGGGAGGUGGAAUUCCGCGUGUAGCAGUGAAAUGCGUAGAGAUGCGGAGGAACACCGAUGGCGAAGGCAGCCUCCUGGGAUGACACUGACGCUCAUGCACGAAAGCGUGGGGAGCAAACAG